AUUGAACGCUGGCGGCAGGCCUAACACAUGCAAGUCGAGCGCGCGGCGGACGGGUGAGUAAUGUAUGGGGACUGCCCGAUAGAGGGGGAUAACUACUGGAAACGGUAGCUAAUACCGCAUACUAUCGGAUAACCCAUAGGGGAGUAGCUAGGAGGGGAGGUAAUGGCUCACCUAGAGGACAAGCCCUAGCUGGUCUGAGAGGAGGAUCAGCCACAGUGGGACGGAGACACGUCACAGACUCCGACGGAGGCAGCAGUGGGGAAUAUUGCACAAUGGGCGCAAGCCUGAUGCAGCCAUGCCGCGUGUAUGAAGAAGGCCCUAGGGUUGUAAAGUACUUUCAGUCGGGAGGCGUUACCGACAGAAGAAGCACCGGCUAACUACGUGCCAGCAGCCGCGGUAAUAC
rnacentral:rRNA from 1 species